AUGGGGUGGCACAACAGAGCCUCCACGUCAGGUGAAGACCUUCGUUCAACAGGGGAAGUUUGCAUUUUCCUGAAUCGCCACGAUGCAGCUCCUCGCUUAAUCAUCUCUACUUACCGUGAUACAGUCAAAAAGGGCCGAUGGACUAUGGAGGUGAACAAAGCCACCCUGUCUACAAACCUCUCCAUCAGCGAGGCGAAGACGAAUGAUGCUGCCACCUACUACUGUGCUGUGAAAGCCACAGUGCCCGGUUCCUCCAGAUUAGUCCCAGGUAAAGGAUCGCGC